rnacentral:lncRNA from 1 species
AGGUGGACCGAAUAACAGGAUUUGAAACAUGUGUGGUGUACCUGGAUAGUCAUGGGUUGAUUUGGUUACAACCACCAGGGGCGAUGCUUUGCACCUCUGCAGAAUGGGCUCCACCUGUGAGAUCCUUCCUCCUCUGUAAGCCACGCCUGUGAAUCUGCUACAAAUGGGAAGAGUUGCCAGAUGCAGAAUCUCUGUUUCAGCUUAUAGCUAGAGACUUGGCCUGGGACCACUUAGCAUGGUUGUACCAACAUCUGAAGUUUAAGCAGGAACCACAAUGAGCAGAUGAUCCUGCACACUGAAUCACUCUACUUCAAAGAUGAAGCCUCACAGUGCUGUGCCAACUCUCACUUUUUCCACAUUACAUAAUCUUCUUCUCUUAUCCAGCAUUUCCAUGCAGCCAUCACAUUCUUGCUAUGCACCCUAUUUGGAAUUAAACUUAGGAUUGUCCUGCCUCAGCCUGCAAGCUUGUGUCCACACACUCAUGUCCCCUGUUGUGGCUAACAUUUUUCAGUGUUAAAAACUUUACAUACAUUGUGGAACUCCGGAAGAAAGUUAGUACUUUCCCAGUUUUGUGCAUAAUAGAAUCAAAUUCAGAGGGAGGAUUUUCUUUUUCCUGCUCAAGCUGUUCACUGAUGAAUGGCAAAACUGGAGGACAUGCCCAGUGUUUUGACC